GGAUGAGCCUGCGUACCAUUAGCUAGUUGGUGGGGUAAGGGCCUACCAAGGCGACGAUGGUUAGCUGGUCUGAGAGGAUGAUCAGCCACACUGGAACUGGAACACGGUCCAGACUCCUACGGGAGGCAGCAGUGAGGAAUUUUGCGCAAUGGGGGAAACCCUGACGCAGCAACGCCGCGUGAGUGAUGAAGGCUUUCGGGUCGUAAAGCUCUGUCGAACGGGAAGAAAGUAUAUUAUCUGAAUAAGGUGGUAUAUUGACGGUACCGUUGAAGGAAGCACCGGCUAACUCCGUGCCAGCAGCCGCGGUAAUACGGGGGGUGCAAGCGUUAUUCGGAAUUAUUGGGCGUAAAGGGCGCGUAGGCGGUUUUACAAGUCAGAUGUGAAAUACCUGGGCUUAACCGAGGAAGAGCAUUUGAAACGGUGAGACUUGAGUAUGGGAGAGGGUAGUGGAAUUCCUGGUGUAGAGGUGAAAUUCGUAGAUAUCAGGAGGAACACCUGUGGCGAAAGCGGCUACCUGGACCAAUACUGACGCUGAGGCGCGAAGGCGUGGGGAGCAAACAGGAUUAGAUACCCUGGUAGUCCACGCAGUAAACGAUGAUCACUAGGUGUAGCGGGUAUUGACCCCUGCUGUGCCGCAGUUAACACAUUAA
rnacentral:rRNA from 1 species